rnacentral:rRNA from 1 species
ACGCUCGACACCUACGGGAGGCAGCAGUAGGGAAUCUUCCACAAUGGACGCAAGUCUGAUGGAGCAACGCCGCGUGAGUGAAGAAGGUUUUCGGAUCGUAAAGCUCUGUUGUUGGUGAAGAAGGAUAGAGGUAGUAACUGGCCUUUAUUUGACGGUAAUCAACCAGAAAGUCACGGCUAACUACGUACCAGCAGCCGCGGUAAUCUGAGCGGGCUGGCAAGGC